UGUUGAUGGAGAUCUCACCCGCACCUCAAACGACCUCAGAUCAAAUCCAGAUCUGAGAGAAACUUGUACCAACCUCUUUGCAAGAGAUUUUGGGUCCUGUAUUUGAUGCUUGGGUGGCUGCAAGAGAGGGAGAGAAGAAAAUGGCUGGCGGCACAAAGGAGAAGGGGGCUAGCACCUCCCCUUCUUUUCUUUCCUUUUUGGGCCUGGCGGCAAGAAACCCUAGGGUUUCUUGCUCCUGGGGCAUGGAGAAUGGCUGGAGAGAGAGGAAGAAGAGAGAGAGAGACUUGGGAGAAAGAGUCUUGUAUUUCUUGGCUUAAUCAAACCUAUACAAGUACAUGUAUAUAUAAACACAGGGUCAAGUGACCCAAACCCAAAACUCCCUUAACCAACUCUAUGGGAGAUUAGGUU
rnacentral:lncRNA from 1 species